rnacentral:misc_RNA from 1 species
AGCUGACCAAAUCAACCACUACGUACAAAAUUUAUGCACACACACAACAUUGCAAUACAUGCUAGUACCAAUGCCGAAUUCUUCUUCCAUCAUUUUGAUUUCACUUUUGUGAUUCACAUGCUCUGUGAACUGCUACAGAGGGAAAGAUUUCCACCCACUUAUGGCGAAUCAAGAUGGACGGCUUUUGGUUUAGAAAAAUCUGAAGGGUGAUCCCUGUUGUAUGCAGACCCUCAACCUGGAGUCAAAAGAGAACUACAAGAUUAAAAUUUGCCAGGACUAGCUGACGCUGAAGAGGGUGUCGUGUGUGGACUUUGAUCAGUACUUAGGGUAUGUGGCUGUGGAACCUAAUGCAGGGCGAGCCUGUUUUAUUAUUUUGUCGAGUCACCAUAAAACUCUUCUUCUUCCAAGCCUCUUGUAUUGUGGCUUAAUGGAGGGCUUGGUUGCUCUUCUUUUGGAAAUGAGCAAUGAUGGAACUACUGGAUCGAAAAGAAUACGCCUGGAAUAUUGUUGUUCUUUUCACUUUUUGUAGCAGCUGCGAGUACUCCAAGUAACUUAGAGGCUAACAAAUUUUGUGCUAUUUUCAGAUGCCAACAUUAUCUUCCUUCAAUCCCCUGCUGGUGUUGGAUUUUCUUAUUCAAACACGUCUGACUAUGAAUCAAGCAGAGAUAAUACAAAUGCCGGAGAUUCCCGUACAUUUCUAGUUAAUUGGUUAGAGAGAUUUCCAGAGUACAAGAACAGGGAAUUAUUUAUAAUUGGAGAAAGCUAUGCAGGCCAUUUUGUUCCCCAGCUUUCUCAAGCAAUCCUUCACAACAAGAAGCAAACCAACCAAACCAAAAUCAACUCAAGGGGAAUUGCUGUAAGUUUUGUUCUUCAUAGUGGAAAUUUGAAGUUUAUAUACAUAUAUCAACCUUAAUUAAUUCGAGGAGAUUCAUGAUAUCUUUAGAUAGUUAAUGCAUGUAUCUUUAGAUAUGCCCACUCCUACAUAAACAUUCCACAAGUACAAAAGGCUCUACAUGCAAAUGCUAUUGCUAUUCCUUAUCCAUGGGAAUCCUGCAGGUACUACCUCAUAUCAUAUACCUGCUAUAACUACAGUUUGAGGUUUUAUUAGUUGUUUGUGUCUAAUGCUUGCUAACCUUGGCUUUUGCUAUCAUUAAUUAUUUUUUGGAGUUUCUCCCUAUGUUUUAAAACAGUGGAAAAUUAAAUAGGGUUUGGAAAGAUUAAGAUGUGACUUCGUGUGUGGAUAGACAGGUUAAGAAUUUGAAAAGUUUAUCCUCAUUAUAUGUACAAAUGAUUAAAGCUACUAAAUGUUUACUAGGCCAAAUUAACCACACAUAAUAUGCAGUGGCAAUACAGAUGGUGCUUUACCAGUAACAUGCAAAAGAUAUUCCACUAACAAAUUGGGAUCACCAGUUAAGACUGCCUGGUGUCCCUGGUAUGCCCAAGGGGAGGUAAAACUUCUACAACUUAUUAUUUAUUAUAUCCCUUGAUGGCCAAUCAAACAAUAUUAAUGCCUGUGAAGGUUGGUGGGUAUGUUGCUGGAUACCAAAAUCUAACCUUUGUGACCAUAAGGGGGUCAGGACAUUUUGGCACCUACAAGGCAGGCUUUGGUUCUCUACUCGUUCCUGAAAAGGAAGCUUCCACCUUCAGCUUAAAGAUUCAAGAACCAGAGUUCGAAUCAUAUGGAGAAGGGGAAUAACAGAGUGUUUCUCGUGUAUUAAAUGAUCAUUCAAAAGUGAAUGGUUCACAGAAGGCUUCUUGCUUUUCCCAUCCUGUAGUUCAACGACAAUGUUUGUUGGCACGGAGUAUGAAGAGUUUAUAUUCCCUGCUGUGUUUUGUACCUCAUAUGAGAUGCUCUCCAUUUUAGUUUCCCUAAUGUCCAUUAAAAUAUGAGAUGCUAGACGAUUAAAGCCUAGUAUGGUGAGACAUUUGAAUUCAUGUCGUAUAGAUUCCUUAUAGCUAGGGAAAUGAAGAAUUCAAUUGACCUGUCAAACCCAUUCCAUCCUGUCAUCCAGUUCUUCAACUACUCAAAGCAAUAUGCACUUUUGCCUUUGUUUGGGAGGAGGUUUUUUAAAGUAAUAGAGAUCAUUAUGUAAUUUCUUGCUAUGGAUAUCCAUUUGACGGUAUUUUUGGAUCAGGACAACAAGAACUAGACAAAAGGCCUUUCCCAUCAGCCGGUAUCUAAACAAAGGAGGACAAAUGCAGGCACAACUCCAAAAAUAUAAUAGAUUUUCCUUGUAUGCCAAAGAAAAAGUUAGGGGAAAGUUCCCCGUUGGACUAUAAUGCAAUAAGGACACUCAGCCCCAUAAUAUUUCUAGGUAAUUGCUACAAGUUGUAUCUACUGAUGCAGUAUGUAACAGAACCCAUCAGUAUUAUCACCCUAGACAGUUAUUUCUUUAGUGCUUAUAUAUAAAUAGCACAAGCCCUUGGCAAACUAAACUAUAACUUUCUGGCACCAAGAAAAUGGAAGUAACAACCCUCAAAUCAUUGCUGUUGUUGCUUCUUUCUUUCCACCUGUUGGCUAUCCACACUUUUUGCAAUGCCAACCAGAUAAACAACCUCCGCAAGUUUAUCAGAUCUCAGAAACUCAACUCUGCUUCUCACACCGAGUCAUGGAAUAAAGAAGAUGGAGCAUACAGGCCUCUAUCAUCGGUAUAUAUAGGUUCCCAGGAUGGGUUGAUGGAAGCUGACAAGAUUGAUACUUUGCCCGGACAGCCCAAAGGAGUGGAUUUUAAUCAGUAUGCAGGAUAUGUUACAGUUGAUCCCAAGAAUGGAAGGGCGCUGUUCUAUUAUUUUGUUGAGUCACCUCAGAAUUCUUCCACCAAACCACUGGUGUUAUGGCUGAAUGGAGGACCUGGAUGCUCAUCUCUAGGAUUUGGAGCCAUGGAAGAAUUGGGACCUUUCAGAGUCAACAGUGACGGAAAGACACUAUACAGAAAUGAGUAUGCUUGGAACAAUGGUAGCAAUUCUUUUCUAAUUGUAAAAGAAUUGAUAAUAUGUUGAAAUAAAAUUGAUGAUCGAGAUACUUGCCGUCUCAAAUUCUUAAUCUUCAUAUAUUUUAUCGAACAUAUUAUCUGCAGUAAUGAAGGAUAAAAUUUGGCAGUUGCAAACGUCGUCUUCUUGGAAUCCCCUGCCGGAGUUGGGUUUUCGUAUUCAAACACUUCCUCAGAUUAUACGACCGGCGACAAGAAAACAGCUGAGGAUUCUUACACUUUUCUGGUGAAUUGGCUGGAGAGGUUCCCCCAAUAUAAAAGUCGCGACUUUUACAUAACUGGGGAGAGUUAUGCUGGUCAUUAUGUACCCCAACUUGCUUACACAAUCCUCUCGAAUAACAAUAGCACAAAUCAGACCAUCAUCAACCUUCAAGGCAUUGCUAUUGGGAAUGCAUGGAUAGAUGAUAACACUGGCGUGAAGGGAACAUAUGAUUAUUACUGGACGCAUGCUCUGAAUUCUGACGAAACCAAUGCAGGAAUCAACAAGUACUGUGACUUCGUUACUGGGAAUUUCUCGAGCAUCUGCAAUAAAUAUCAGGACCUGGGCGAUGAGGAAGUUGGGGACCUUGACGCUUACAACAUUUAUGCACCAUUCUGCAAUCAAUCAGCACCAAAAUCUGGCUCACCUGGUUCUGUCAAAGAUUUCGACCCCUGCUCCAGUGACUAUGUACUGUCUUAUCUAAAUCUAGCCGAGGUGCAAACAGCUCUUCAUGCAGAGGCCACAGAGUGGGAGGCUUGCGGAGGUCAUCUAGUACAAUGGACGGACAGUCCACCAACAAUUUUACCCACCAUCCAGCAGCUAAUGGCAGGCGGGAUAAGAUUGUGGAUAUACAGUGGCGACGUAGAUUCAGUAGUAUCAGUAACAACAUCUAGGUACGCCAUAAAAACCUUCAAACUUGCAAUCGACACGGCUUGGCAUCCGUGGUACACCAGUAAUGAGGUUGGAGGAUAUGUGGAGGAGUACCAAGGGCUCACAUUCGUCACAGUCAGAGGAUCCGGGCAUACCGUUCCCAGCUACCAACCAGAGAGAGCUCUAACCAUGAUAUACUCUUUCCUUCAGGGAGCACUUCCUCCUUCCUCUCAAGGAAACCACUGAAUGGAAGCCAUUCCAUAUGACAAUUAUCUCAUCAUUUUUAUUCCUGUUACUUUUACAAGAACAUGAUCAGGUUCUGCUUGUAAAAUUUAUCUUCAAUUCUGCUAAAGAACAGAUUAUCAAAUAUAUGAUCGUUUCCUGGUGCACUAGACAGAUGUACAUU